rnacentral:tRNA from 1 species
GGUUGGUAGCCCAGUGGUAGAGCACUCACCUAGCAUGUGCAAGGUGCUGGGUUUGAUCCUCAGCACCA